AGACGGAGGGUGCAAGCGUUGUUCGGAAUCACUGGGCGUAAAGCGCGUGUAGGCGGUCUGAUCAGUCGAGUGUGAAAGCCCAAGGCUCAACUUCGGAAGUGCACUCGAAACUGUCAGGCUUGAGUACGGGAGAGGGAAGUGGAAUUCCUGGUGUAGAGGUGAAAUUCGUAGAUAUCAGGAGGAACACCGGUGGCGAAGGUGGCUUCCUGGACCGAUACUGACGCUGAGACGCGAAAGCGUGGGGAGC
rnacentral:rRNA from 1 species